rnacentral:piRNA from 1 species
AUGGAAUGAACAAAGGCUGCUCU